rnacentral:rRNA from 1 species
CCUACGGGGGGCUGCAGUGGGGAAUAUUGGACAAUGGGGGGAACCCUGAUCCAGCCAUGCCGCGUGUGUGAAGAAGGCCCUCGGGUUGUAAAGCACUUUCAGUGAGGAAGAACGCCUGGUGGUUAAUACCCUUCAGGAAAGACAUCACUCACAGAAGAAGCACCGGCUAACUCCGUGCCAGCAGCCGCGGUAAUACGGAGGGUGCGAGCGUUAAUCGGAAUUACUGGGCGUAAAGCGCGCGUAGGUGGCUUGAUAAGCCGGUUGUGAAAGCCCCGGGCUCAACCUGGGAACGGCAUCCGGAACUGUCAAGCUAGAGUGCAGGAGAGGAAGGUAGAAUUCCCGGUGUAGCGGUGAAAUGCGUAGAGAUCGGGAGGAAUACCAGUGGCGAAGGCGGCCUUCUGGACUGACACUGACACUGAGGUGCGAAAGCGUGGGUAGCAAACAGGAUUAGAUACCCUAGUAGUC